rnacentral:lncRNA from 1 species
CAUCUGCAUCAGACAACAGAUCGAUUUUACUAAUAUUCCAAACAGGCUGAGAAAACUGAGAAAAUUUACGGUGUAAGAAACCAAUAGUGUAAUAAUUUUUGGUUUGAUUUAGAAUUAUUAGAAAGAUACGAUCUUUUAUUGCCAACACAUCCAGAAAUUAUUUUCUAACAGUCUAAGGCACCUAUACAAAUCCGGGCCAUUCGCACAGACACUUGUGUAUGUCUAUCCCA